AUUGAACGCUGGCGGCAGGCCUAACACAUGCAAGUCGAACGAGUGGCGGACGGGUGAGUAAUUUCUGGGAAACUGCCUGAUGGAGGGGGAUAACUACUGGAAACGGUAGCUAAUACCGCAUACCAUCGGAUGUUCCCAGAUGGGAUUAGCUAGUCGGUGGGGUAAAGGCUCACCUAGGCGACGAUCCCUAGCUGGUAUGAGAGGAUGACAAGCGAAACGGGAACUGAGACAAGGUACAGACGACUACGGGAGGCAGCAGUGGGGAAGAUUGCACAAUGGGCGCAAGCCUGAUGAAGCCAUGCCGUGUGUAGGAAGAAGGACGUCGGGUUGUAAAGUACUUUAAGAGGGGAGGCGUUACCCGCAGAAGAAGCACCGGCUAACUCCGUGCCAGCAGCCGCGGUAAUUC
rnacentral:rRNA from 1 species